rnacentral:rRNA from 1 species
CCAAUAGCGUAUAUUAAAGUUGUUGCAGUUAAAAAGCUCGUAGUUGAAUUUCGGAAUCUGUCCAUCGGUCGGGCUUCACUGUCCGUACUGGUGUGGUGGGUUCUUACCUUCUGAAUAACCAGCAUGCCAUUCAUUUGGUGCGUUGGGGAAGCAGGACUAUUACCUUGAAAAAAUUAGAGUGCUCAAAGCAGGCUAGUGCCUGAAUACAUUAGCAUGGAAUAAUAAAAUAGGACGGCAUGGUUCUAUUUUGUUGGUUUCUAGGAUCACCGUAAUGAUUAAUAGGGAUAGUUGGGGGCAUUAGUAUUCAAUUGUCAGAGGUGAAAUUCUUGGAUUUAUUGAAGAAUAACUUCUGCGAAAGCAUUUGCCAAGGAUGUUUUCAUUAAUCAAGAACGAAAGUUAGGGGAUCGAAGACGAUCAGAUACCGUCGUAGUCUUAACCAUAAACUAUGCCGACUAGGGAUCGGACGAUGUUAAUUUUUUAAUGACUCGUUCGGCGCCUUACG